CAGAGCCAUAGAGCUAAAAAGAGUCGCGACACUCCCAUUGGACUCCGUUGUACGCUGUUUGCCGCCCACUUCCGGGGUAUGCAGCCUCGCAUAGUUCCAAAAAGCCAUUCUAUGGCGUCGGACAUCAUUCACUUCCAUUGCUGACUCUCGAGUAACUUCUGAGACCACCGAUUGCCUGCUAUUUUUGUUAGCUUGACUUCGCCCUCUGUAAAGCUCCAGCCAGCAUAAACACCAGUGCAUGCGUCGCUUGUCCUUGGUGGUCAGGCAGCGUGAUGUUGCCAAAUAGCCUCCCCGUUCCCAGAUGGAGCUCCACGCCUGGAGUAAUGGACAUUUCAUCUAAGUUGCCUUAUUAGGUCCUCCACAAUUGCACUAUUAGACCCUGGCAGUCUGGUCCCUGGAGCACCUGGCCCUGGCAAAGUUGGUUCAUCGUUGCUGGCUCCUGACUGACUGGCCCUCGGCACACACAUCCCUGGAUCACCUGCCCCUGUGUCCAGGACUCAGAUGAAGAGGAUGUUAGUAUGCGUUGUUGAGAGGAACUGCCCUACAGUGACUGGCCAUAGUGCAUACUGGAACUCCACAGAUCUUGCUGGACCAGCUGUAUCGUUUUUGUGGCCAUCACAGGUUUCAGUGGAGCACCCCAAAAAAAAAAUGGUUACGAUACCUGUUCUUAACGCCUGUUUACACAUUUGUUGUUCUUGUUCACACAUGCUGUAUGUAUGUUUGUUGAUAUUAUUCAUGCUUGUUCCCGUUUUUUUUGUUCCACAUUGUUCAUUUUUAUCUUAUGCCAGAUACCUUUAUUAUUAUUAUUGUUGUCCUUCCCUUCAGCCCUGAUGCACUCUGAAGCCUGAUGUAUGUGGAGGAUUUAUUUUUUUAAAUGUAUUUAUAAUAUUCCUCCCUGUUCCUUCACUUUGUUCUUGUUUUUCCAGUUAGAUACA